rnacentral:lncRNA from 1 species
AAAUGCCCAAAACUUUUUUUUUUGAAACCUUGACCCAAGGGUGACAGACCCGCCACAAAUGUAGGAAAUUCACUGUUCAUGCUGACAGAAUCUCUCAUGUAUUUGCACGGAGUCGCACAUAGUAUAAGUUAUAACCACAUUCAUUUACAACACAUGUUCAUAAUUACAUUCAUACAUUCACAUCUAUCAUUUGAAAAUAUUUUCUAUCCAAAAAUUUAUUUUGAAAUACCAAAAUCACGAAAAGCUAUAAAACUUUUUUGAAACUGUUUUCCACAAUAACACCUUUUAUUUUCUUUGGAAAUGAGCUACCACGAGGGGU